AUUGAACGCUGGCGGCAGGCCUAACACAUGCAAGUCGAACGGUAGCACAGAGAGCUUGCUCUCGGGUGACGAGUGGCGGACGGGUGAGUAAUGUCUGGGAAACUGCCCGAUGGAGGGGGAUAACUACUGGAAACGGUAGCUAGUACCGCAUAAUGUCGCAAGACCAAAGAGGGGGACCUUCGGGCCUCUUGCCAUCGGAUGUGCCCAGAUGGGAUUAGCUAGUUGGUGAGGUAAUGGCUCACCAAGGCGACGAUCCCUAGCUGGUCUGAGAGGAUGACCAGCCACACUGGAACUGAGACACGGUCCAGACUCCUACGGGAGGCAGCAGUGGGGAAUAUUGCACAAUGGGCGCAAGCCUGAUGCAGCCAUGCCGCGUGUAUGAAGAAGGCCUUCGGGUUGUAAAGUACUUUCAGCGGGGAGGAAGGCAAUGCGGUUAAUAACCGUGUUGAUUGACGUUACCCGCAGAAGAAGCACCGGCUAACUCCGUG
rnacentral:rRNA from 1 species